AUGGCUGCUGACGUGGGCGGAUGGGAAUGCCAGGAAUCUGAACACCAGUCAUAGCUGACUGUGUUGAGCAUGCUGCUGCACCGGGCAUCGCUUUAAUCACAUUGCAGACAUUGUCUCAUUUACCAACCUGCCCUGUGAGGUGGCACUAUCAUUCACAGCACCGCUGAUGAUGGGAUGAUGGGGAAGCAACAACACUGAGAUGGGAGAUGGGACCACAAACAGACGCGUCGGCCAUUUCAAAGUGCUUUUCACAUGAGCAAAGGAUGGAUGAUCUGCACAUUAGUGACUCACCACGUACUGACGACCUGAGACUUCUUGCUUUUGUCUGUUAUUAACAUUUUCAUGUAUAUUUGCCUUGUCUGCUCUGGCAGUUCCUGAAGAAUUGGACUGUCUUGUGGGUCUCUUGCCUCCCACUUGAUACCUAUUACACACAGAAGCCCGUCUAUGGAAAGGUAACGAACUGAUUAACUAGUGUUUGCAACUUCUUGCUCCACCCUCCUUGUCAAUGAAGGCGAGUCCGACUUGUAAAUUUUUGAAAUGUAGCCAACAAUUUUGUAAACACUUGGGGAAUUUUCUAAAUGUUCGGCCAGUAGAAUGAAUUUAGUGAUGCCCCGAAUUUUAAUGAGACUUCUUUCAUGCUA